rnacentral:rRNA from 1 species
GACGAACGCUGGCGGCGUGCCUAAUACAUGCAAGUCGAACGCAGGGGGGACGGGUGAGUAACACGUGGCUAACCUCCCCGUCAGAGGGCAUAACACUUGGAAACAGGUGCUAAACCGACACCGAUGGAGGGACCCGCGGUGCAUUAGCUUGUCGGUGGGGUAACGGCUCACCAAGUCCACGAUACAUAGCCGACCGGAGAGGGUGAUCGGCCACACUGGGACUGAGACACGGCCCAGACUCCUACGGGAGGCAGCAGUAGGGAAUCUGCGACAAUGGGCGAAAGUCUGACCGAGCAACGCCGCGUGGGUGAAGAAGGUUUGCGGAUCGUAAAGCUCUGUUAUUAGGGAAGCGGUAUCUGACCAGAAAGCCACGGCUAACUACGUGCCAGCAGCCGCGGUAAUUC